CCUACGGGCGGCAGCAGUGGGGAAUAUUGCACAAUGGGGGAAACCCUGAUGCAGCGACGCCGCGUGAGUGAAGAAGUAUCUCGGUAUGUUAAGCUCUAUCAGCAGGGAAGAAGAAAGACGGUACCUGACUAAGAAGCCCCGGCUAACUACGUGCCAGCAGCCGCGGUAAUACGUAGGGGGCAAGCGUUAUCCGGAUUUACUGGGUGUAAAGGGAGCGUAGACGGCUGUGCAAGUCUGAAGUGAAAGGCCAGGGCUCAACCCUGGGACUGCUUUGGAAACUGUGGAGCUAGAGUGCUGGAGAGGUAAGUGGAAUUCCUAGUGUAGCGGUGAAAUGCGUAGAUAUUAGGAGGAACACCAGUGACGAAGGCAGCUUACUGGACAGUAACUGACGUUGAGGCUCGAAAGCGUGGGGAUCAAACAGGAUUAGAUACCCCUGUAGUC
rnacentral:rRNA from 1 species